rnacentral:rRNA from 1 species
AUUGAGCGCUGGCGGCAUGCUUUACACAUGCAAGUCGAACGGUAACAGGUUAAGCUGACGAGUGGCGAACGGGUGAGUAAUGCAUCGGAACGUGCCCGAUCGUGGGGGAUAACGCAGCGAAAGCUGCGCUAAUACCGCAUACGAUCUGAGGAUGAAAGCGGGGGACCGUAAGGCCUCGCGCGAUCGGAGCGGCCGAUGUCAGAUUAGGUAGUUGGUGGGGUAAAGGCCCACCAAGCCGACGAUCUGUAGCUGGUCUAAGAGGACGACCAGCCACACUGGGACUGAGACGCGGCCCAGACUCCUACGGGAGGCAGCAGUGGGGAAUUUUGGACAAUGGGCGAAAGCCUGAUCCAGCAAUGCCGCGUGCAGGAAGAAGGCCUUCGGGUUGUAAACUGCUUUUGUACGGAGCGAAAAGGCCCUUUCUAAUACAAGGGGCUCAUGACGGUACCGUAAGAAUAAGCACCGGCUAACUACGUGCCAGCAGCCGCGGUAA